GGGGGUGUAGCUUAAUGGUAGAGCACUUGCCUAGCAUGCAUAAGGCCCUGAGUUACAUACCCAGCACUGCAA
rnacentral:tRNA from 1 species